rnacentral:rRNA from 1 species
GACGAACGCUGGCGGCGUGCUUAACACAUGCAAGUCGAACGGAAAGGCCCUGCUUUCGUGGGGUGCUCGAGUGGCGAACGGGUGAGUAACACGUGAGUAACCUGCCCUUGACUUUGGGAUAACUUCAGGAAACUGGGGCUAAUACCGGAUAGGAGCUCCUGCUGCAUGGAGGGGGUUGGAAAGUUUCGGCGGUUGGGGAUGGACUCGCGGCUUAUCAGCUUGUUGGUGGGGUAGUGGCUUACCAAGGCUUUGACGGGUAGCCGGCCUGAGAGGGUGACCGGCCACAUUGGGACUGAGAGACGGCCCAGACUGCUACGGGAGGCAGCAGUGGGGAAUAUUGCACAAUGGUCGGAAGCCUGAGGCAGCAACGCCGCGUGCGGGAUGACGGCCUUCGGGGUGUAAACCGCUUUCGCCUGUGACGAAGCGUGAGUGACGGUAAUGGGUAAAGAAGCACCGGCUAACUACGUG